rnacentral:lncRNA from 1 species
AAGGGACAUAAAAGGAAAUCCCCAUUUGGAAGUACAGAAAGAAAGACUCCUGUUAAAAAGCUGGCUCCUGAAUUUUCAAAAGUCAAAACAAAAACUCCUAAGCACUCUCCUAUUAAAGAGGAACCCUGUGGUUCCUUAUCUGAAACUGUUUGUAAACGUGAAUUGAGGAGCCAAGAAACCCCAGAAAAGCCCCGGUCUUCAGUGGACACCCCACCAAGACUCUCCACUCCCCAAAAGGGACCCAGCACCCAUCCCAAGGAGAAAGCCUUCUCAAGUGAGAUAGAAGAUUUGCCGUACCUUUCCACCACAGAAAUGUAUUUGUGUCGUUGGCACCAGCCUCCCCCAUCACCGUUACCAUUACGGGAAUCCUCUCCAAAGAAGGAGGAGACUGUAGCAAGGUCAACUUUUACUCACCUGCCAUGUUCUGAGUUUAAGGUUUGAUAUCCUUGGCCAUCAACUGUUGCAGGGAAACCACCCUAAAUAAUGAAGAAAAGAAGUCGUCUCAGUGUAAAAAAAAAAAGUGGGUGUCUGAUGCCAUCAAGUGUUGCAGGAGAAACUUCAGUCUUGGCUGUUCCUUCUU